rnacentral:rRNA from 1 species
CCCCUAGACGUUCUGGGCUGCACGCGUGCUACAAUGAAGCGUCCAACAAGAUGCGAAGCCGAAAGGCUCAGCGGAUCUUUGAAGUCGUUUCGUGACCGGGACAGUUGAUUGCAAUUAUUCGACUCGAACGAGGAAUUCCUUGUAAUCGCGAUUCAUCAUAUCGCGCUGAAUACGUCCCUGCCCUUUGUACACACCGCCCGUCGCUCCUACCGAUUGAGCGAUCCGGUGAAUUAUUUGGAGUGUCCACGCAAGCCAAUCCGUUUACGUGGGUGCGAAAUUUUGUAAACCUUAUCGCUUAGAGGAAGGAAAAGUCGUAACA